rnacentral:rRNA from 1 species
AUGAGAUUGGUAGGGUUGGCGGCCAUCGAGCGAGCCAGAAAAAGGCAAGCCUCCCGGGUACUCUGGCUACGAGCGGGAGAUGCCAGCACCAAGUUCUUUCAUGCCAAGUUCUGCUCGAGAAGGCGCAAAAACUUCAUUCACUCCAUCCAGAGCGAUGACAGAAUUGCAAUAACGCAUGCAGACAAGGCCCAAGUCAUCCAGGAUCACUUUAGCAAGGCAAUGACAGCUAGUACGGGCCGGAGUGUCAUUUUAAAUUGGGGCGUGCUGAGGCUGCCAAGGGUCCAAGCCGCUGGUUUGGACAACCCCUUCACCGAAGAUGAAGUUUGGGAAGCAAUUUUGCAGUCGCCAGCGGAAAAAGCUCCAGGGCCUGAUGGCUUAUUGGCAGGUUCUUUAGCGCCUGCUAGCCAAUCAUCAAGGAUGACAUUAUGGCGGCGUUCCACCGCUUCUACAGCCUCGCGGGGGGGAAUUUAG